ACUCCUACGGGAGGCAGCAGUGGGGAAUUUUGGACAAUGGGCGAAAGCCUGAUCCAGCCAUGCCGCGUGCAGGAUGAAGGCCUUCGGGUUGUAAACUGCUUUUGUACGGAACGAAACGGCCUUUUCUAAUAAAGAGGGCUAAUGACGGUACCGUAAGAAUAAGCACCGGCUAACUACGUGCCAGCAGCCGCGGUAAUACGUAGGGUGCAAGCGUUAAUCGGAAUUACUGGGCGUAAAGCGUGCGCAGGCGGUUAUGUAAGACAGUUGUGAAAUCCCCGGGCUCAACCUGGGAACUGCAUCUGUGACUGCAUAGCUAGAGUACGGUAGAGGGGGAUGGAAUUCCGCGUGUAGCAGUGAAAUGCGUAGAUAUGCGGAGGAACACCGAUGGCGAAGGCAAUCCCCUGGACCUGUACUGACGCUCAUGCACGAAAGCGUGGGGAGCAAACAGGAUUAGAAACCCCGGUAGUCCCAUGA
rnacentral:rRNA from 1 species